UACGAAGGGUGCAAGCGUUAAUCGGAAUUACUGGGCGUAAAGCGUGCGUAGGCGGUUUCUUAAGUCUGCUGUGAAAUCCCCGGGCUCAACCUGGGAAUGGCGAUGGAUACUGGCGAGCUAGAGUGUGUCAGAGGAUGGUGGAAUUCCCGGUGUAGCGGUGAGAUGCGUAGAGAUCGGGAGGAACAUCAGUGGCGAAGGCGGCCAUCUGGGACAACACUGACGCUGAAGCGCGAAAGCGUGGGGAGCGAACAGG
rnacentral:rRNA from 1 species